GCCAAGUGUUCUAAUGCCAUCUUGCUUUCUGUGGGAUUUGACAAAAACACACAAAAGCCAUGAGAUAGACUGAUACUUCCAUAGUAAUGUCUCUUUCUAUAUAUUUAUACCGUAAAAGAGGCAGCUAGGCAGUAUCAAGAUGGUGGCAUAGAGUACCUGAGUUUCUUCAUGGUGUAUAUUCUUGUUUCUUCUCCCCACCCCUUUAUCAGCUGUAAUAUCUUUCAAAAACCUGGCUGGGAUAAGUAAUAUUUAAAGACACCUAGGAGAAGGGAAGAAAAAAGGCACACUCAUCGUCAUCUGUAGUCGAGUAUUUGCUUAUUGCCUAUGUCCCAUGCUGGCAAUAGGCACCCUGAAAGAAGAAGUAUUGCCUACCUUGCCCACUGUGGUAUUCCAGUGCUCAAAAAGUGUUUACUGAAUGAUUGAAUGGAGUAAACAUGGCUGACUUGCAAUCUUCUCUUUGGGAUCUGUUGGCACAUCAACUUCUGUGAACUCCAUGAGAGUGCGGUCUACUGUGGGUCUAUGUAUGGAAUUUAAUGUUAUUAUAACCACGGAGAGACAAACUGUUCCUGAAACUAAGGAUAGCAGGAUGAGAAAGAGGUCUACGGAAUGAUCAGAGAAUUGGAUGAGGAGAGUGGCUUCCUAUUAUAGUGGCUCAAAUCAGCCUUUUGUUUGCCACACCAUUAAUACCAAGAAGAUUUUUAUCAUAUUUAGCCACAGUCAGGUGGUGGAUUCCUCACAUAAGAAGGUGAUUCACAUGCCGGUUACUAAAAUGAAUGAGUACCAUCUACCCUAGCACCUACAAUCCCAGAAGAGGAGAGAUUGUCUCUGUCUCCCAGGGUCUGUUUCAAUCUCUGAGAAGGAUUUUGAUUGGCCUUAUUCUUUAAGUAUGACUGGAUGCAGGGACAAAGUGUCGAUUAUCAUGGUGGCAGGAUGGCACUUGGGCCGUCUCCUGUGUCUUCUCUGAAGCUCCAUGGGUAUGGCUGGUCAUAUCUUGUGCCCAGGUGUCUUGAGUUGGUGGUCGCUGAAGUAUGGCUAGUCCUGCCUGGUUUGGGACAUCAAACUUUUAUCUUCCCCUAAAGAAUGAGACGAAAAGAGAGAGAGACAGAGACAUAGGCAGAGGGAGAAGCAGGCUCCCCACAGGGAACCUGAUGCAGGACUCAAUCUCAAGAGUCCAGGAUCAUGACCUGAGCCAAAGGCAGACGCUCAACCACUGAGCCACCCAGCUGUCCAUACAUUACAGAUUGAAUCUUUAGUGAUCCUCCAAGCCAUCUUCUCUCCUUUGGGGACAAUGCUGUGGCAAAACACUGUGGAUUCUGUAGCAUGUAAGGAACAAGCACUCACUAUGCACCUGGGCUGUUUAGAAGAUACAACGAUACAACAUCACGGUCCUGCUCUAUUGAAAGCUCAGCCCCGAUUUCCAGCUGAGAUCAGGGCUCUGUAGCCUUGUAUUUAAGAUGGGUAAAAAUGAAAUGUGAAAAUAAAGAAUGUGUCUCUUA